rnacentral:rRNA from 1 species
UACGGAGGAGGCAAGCGUUAUCCGGAAUUAUUGGGCGUAAAGCGUCCGCAGGUGGCGAUUCAAGUCUGCGGUCAAAGACUGGGGCUUAACCCUGGAAAGGCCGUGGAAACUGAAUAGCUAGAGUGCAGUAGGGGUAGAGGGAAUUCCCGGUGUAGCGGUGAAAUGCGUAGAGCUCGGGAAGAACAUCGGUGGCGAAAGCGGCUUCCUGGACCAGUACCGACGUUCAGGCACGAAAGCGUGGGGAUCAAACAGG